UUAAAUUGUAAAUAUUUUUCAAAAUUAUUGUUAGUUAUGUUCUUUAAAUUUAAAAAAUUUGGCGGUAUUUUAAUCUUUUCAGAGGAACCUGUCCUGUAAUUGAUAAUCCACGAUUAAUAAAACUUUAAUUAUAAUUUGUAUAUCGUCGUAUAAAAAUAUGUUAAAAGAUUAUAUUAAUUUUUAAUUAAAACUUAAUUCAGAUCAAGGUGCAGUUUAUAUUAAAGAAGAGAUGGGUUACUAUUUUAAAUAAAUUUAGAUAAAAUUUUUAAAAGAUUUUAAAAAAUGGAUUUGAAAGUAAUUAAUAUAUUUAUUUUAUUAAUGAUUAAAGUUCUAAAAUAUGU
rnacentral:rRNA from 1 species